GAUCAUGGCUCAGGACGAACGCUGGCGGCGUGCUUAACACAUGCAAGUCGAACGAAGAGCGAUGGAAGCUUGCUUCUAUCAAUCUUAGUGGCGAACGGGUGAGUAACGCGUAAUCAACCUGCCCUUCAGAGGGGGGACAACAGUUGGAAACGACUGCUAAUACCGCAUACGAUCUAAUCUCGGCAUCGAGGAUGGAUGAAAGGUGGCCUCUAUUUAUAAGCUAUCACUGAAGGG
rnacentral:rRNA from 1 species